AACGAACGCUGGCGGCAGGCUUAACACAUGCAAGUCGAACGGUCUCUUCGGAGGCAGUGGCAGACGGGUGAGUAACGCGUGGGAACAUACCUUUCGGUACGGAACAACAGUUGGAAACGACUGCUAAUACCGUAUACGCCCUGAGGGGAAAGAUUUAUCGCCGAGAGAUUGGCCCGCGUUGGAUUAGCUAGUUGGUGGGGUAAUGGCCUACCAAGGCGACGAUCCAUAGCUGGUCUGAGAGGAUGAUCAGCCACACUGGGACUGAGACACGGCCCAGACUCCUACGGGAGGCAGCAGUGGGGAAUAUUGGACAAUGGGCGCAAGCCUGAUCCAGCCAUGCCGCGUGAGUGAUGAAGGCCUUAGGGUUGUAAAGCUCUUUCGCCGGUGAAGAUAAAUGACGGUAACCGGUAAAGAAGCCCCGGCUAACUUCGUGCCAGCAGCCGCGGUAAUUCCACUAUCGA
rnacentral:rRNA from 1 species